UCCUACGGGAGGCAGCAGUAAGGAAUAUUGGUCAAUGGACGAAAGUCUGAACCAGCCAUCCCGCGUGCAGGAUGAAGGUCCUAUGGAUUGUAAACUGCUUUUAGCAGAGAAGAAAAGCAUCCUUUUAAGGGUGUCUGACGGUAUCUGCGGAAUAAGCACCGGCUAACUCCGUGCCAGCAGCCGCGGUAAUA
rnacentral:rRNA from 1 species